rnacentral:lncRNA from 1 species
UGAAAAGUGGCCUUAAAGUGUGGGAUUUCUACUUGCCACACGGUAAGAAACUCUUCCUGAUGACAGAAGGGUAUGAAGAUUUGUAAUAGCUUGAAUUUUAAGUGUCUUAUGUCUACGCUGGAUAGAAGAAGAAUUAAGAGACUUAUUGAUUCGAGGAAGAUUUAGACCAGUCACUGAGGAGGAACUAGCAGGAAGAGAUUUUCAAGGCAGGUCCUUGGGCUGUGUGUGGCAAUUGGGCACGUACCUGUUGGAAAUGCUUCAGGCAGAGUGACGUGGGUUGGCAUGUUACCUGAGCAGAGGACUCUAAACUGAGCACACUGUGCUGCUUUCGAGAGGGGCCAAAAGUCUGGAAGAAAGAUAAGCCUUGAGUUUACUUAAUACAUUCAAAUUAACUGGAAAAAAUGUUCCUAUUUAGUAACUGUAUUUGCACAAUGUCUUAAAAUGUAAACUCCUGUGAAACAUGCAUGAAAGGGUAUGAAGAAGUUAGACUAGCUACAUAUACUCAAGAAAAACACGUGUAAGUCCUGACUCUAUGAUGAUGUGCUCUUGUUAAACCUGAGCUGACUUACCAGAGGGACGUAUGAGAUGGAG